UGAAAGUGAUUCAAUCUUUAUUUGCUCAGCUCAAGAACAGACAGCAAUGACAGUCGUUAAAUCUUUUGACAUUAUAAUGCAUAGAUUUGGACUAUAGAGCCGUAAACGUUUGUUAAUUCCCAAACAAUUUUUAUUAAUUUCUUCUAUUUUGCAGUAAGCCACGGAUAAUAAUAAUCUAGCAAAAGAACUUGGAAAAUACAUGAUUCAACAAAGGUUAGUCUGGAUUUUUACGAACAUAUGUGUUUUGAAAGAUAAAGCGGAAAUAAAAAGCCUAAUAGUUACUUUAAUUCUUCAUUAAAAAGUGUUCGUUGUUUAGACAAUAAGAUUCGUAUUAAUUUAUUUGAAAUUGAUUACAAUUUAAUCUAUUACAGAUACUACGCAAGACAAAACGUCCGGGACCAGACGACUUAAUUAUGUAGCUGCCAGAAAAAGGUUAAACAAGACUGGAAGUUAGCUUCGGCAAGCAGAACUCGAAUUGAUUUUGCUGAUCAAGAAUUUAACUUCUUCUCUGCGUUACUCGGGAGCAAAAUUAUAAUAACUUCUACUUGUGAAUCACAAUCAAAUAUAAUUAUUGUUGUGAAGUAUUACUAUUAUAUUCUGUUAAAAGUAAAAAAUUAAUGUAGGUUAUGGUGUAACUUAAGUAAAA